GCAUCGGUGGUUCAGUGGUAGAAUGCUAGGCGGGCGGCCCGGGUUCGAUUCCCGGCCGAUGCA
rnacentral:tRNA from 1 species